rnacentral:lncRNA from 1 species
UCCGUGAACGAUUUCUUCACCUCCAGAAGAACUUCCAUGUCCACCGAGUCCAAGUGCCGGCCAAGAGCCAAAGGGGGCACGAAAGAGAUGACGACCACCAGGAGAACAACCAGCAUCAGCCUCUGGUACUUAUCCAUCUCUACACUUUAGUUACUGUCGUUAUCUGAAUAGAGCACUGAUAGCAGCAGUAGUGGUAAGAAGAAGAAGAAGAAGAGGAGGAAGAAGGGUAGAGGAGGAUGUUGGGUAGACUCAUGCAUGCAUGCAUGCAUGGGAUCAGGAAUGCCGAGUGCCUGACAGGGGUGUUUUGAGUUGUUCUUGUCCUGUGGAGUUCUGCGUUGGGCUGCGUGUAGUUUGGGGAAAUGGAGAGAUUAAAGAGGAGAGAGAGAUGGGUCUUGUGAGGCAACCUUAGCAAAUGGCCUUUNNNNNNNNNNNNNNNNNNNNUUUCAUCGGAGAGAGAGAGAGAGAGAGAGAGACCUGCGGCGAUGGCAAGGGAACACAGAAGCUGGGGUUUGGGAGGAGACGAGGGGGUGGUGUCAUCAAAUCGGAGGGUAAGGUUGAUGGAGCGUGUGGGGUUGGCUUCGUGGGUUGGGUUUGGAAAAGGUAGCAGUUGGGGCUCCAUCAAUAGGACAUGUUGACACCGCAUUCACUUGUUGUGUUAGUUUUGCGACCGAAUCUGCCUCCCAAGAGAUCCAACUCAUCCUAUGUGGCUGCCUCACGGACAUGCUCUGUGCGGGGCCCCCCAAGAGAGGAGAUAUCUGAGAGAAGGGAUAGGAAACGGACCGUCGUCGGUACACAACAUCCAUCAUCAUCUGGUUCUAAAGAAACACCUGCAUGUUGAGGUUACAUUUCCAAAUGAAGAGAUCAUAUUUCAACACAAGUACAUAGCUGUGCCGGUAGUCACAGCAGCUUAAUUCCUCCAUACCAACAUGCUCAUGAUUUCUACUCCAUACAACCUGCACCAGUUUCAUGCUUUCAAUCUCACCAAUUAUUAUUAUUAUUGGUUUACCGAGUUUGCUUUCCUGCCGCCCAACAGUUGACUCUCGUCAUAGAAAUGGAAUGACAUGUUAGAUUCCAGAACUCAUCCGUCCGAUUAAACCUCCUUCUUCCUCAUCCUCCUGCCUUUACCACACUGCCUCCUUUGCAUCAUCAUCCACCUUGCCUCCUGCAGCUAGAACUCUUAGGUCCUACGGACCAUGGGCAGGUCCUGAUGAUGUUGUGGUGAUGCAGCAGCAUCUCAGAAACUUGUCGCCUUUACUCGAUGUUUAUGCAGCUGUUGUUGAUUCUUUAACAACUCGGAAGAAUGGCAUUUAGGGUCACGGGGUUGAUCAAACCACCCAGUCAGUGCCCUAGUCAAUUCUUCUGCGUUGUUCCUGUUCCUUUGCGUGUCUGCUUCUCUCUCUCUCUCUCUCUCUGUCUUGCAAACUAAUAGGGCAUCGGAACAGAAUCACCAAACCCAGCUGUCUUUUAGUGCCCACUCUUUCUCUUUCUCCUCUAGUGGAGAAGCAGGAGAAAUGCAGCAACGACUCAAUUAGUGAUUGCUGCAAUAUAAUAUGGCCAUGAUCUCUAUUCAUGCGUGUGAUAGGACAUGGAGGAUUGGAUAAGGAGCUCUUAUGGUGGGGGAGUAGUCUUCUAAAUGCUACAUGACUUUGGUGGUCAUUAAGCCUCCUACUAUUUGGUAAACCACCCCUCUUUGGCUCCCCCCCUAAGUUUCUUUUGUGCUUGCUUGCUCAAUGAUUUGAGCCCCUUGAGUUGCUCUUCCCAGUCUUGCUCUAUCAUGUAGAGAAUUGUUGAGGAUAUGGCCUUUGGGCAAAAUGCCUUCCAUGAUAUGAUGAUAUGAACAAGAAAGAGAGAGAGAGAGAGAGAGGUCUUACCACCAGCUACCAUCGCUGGCAAAAUCUGAACAGUGACACUUGGACUAACACCUUUUGUGCAUGACACAUGACAUCCUAACUAGUUUCAUCCCUACUGAUUUGGAACUUAAGAAUACGGGCAUCGUGCGUCUACUACAGAUUGUUUAGUCAAUAAUUGCUUAGAUCGCUUGCAUUUAGUAAAAGCAAUGAACAGCUUAGACAAUCUUACAUGACCAAAGGACAACGAGAAGGAUGGCACUGAGGUCAACAUGCUACCUCACCAGAUUUGGCUCUUUCUCAUCUCAACGCGGUCAGUGAGACAUCACGUUGUAACGUCGUAAGGACGUAGAAUAUGCUUCUGCCUCCGGGAAGACAUUCUAUUGCAAUGUCUCAACGAUCUUAUCUGUGGUUUGUCUGAGGGGGUAGGAAAAGAAAAAACAAGCAGAAAUAUAGCCUUGAGGAAUUAAUAUGUAUGUAUGAUCGGGUAGAGCACCAAAGUUAAUUGUUUUCUCACUUCCAGUUGCACAUGGACCCAACAGUUUUAACUCGACUGCGUCUUCAAUGUCCGACGCAGCAGGACAAGAUUUAGUUCAGUGAUGGCGAGGAACAAGACGAGAAACUCGGCGAGUCACAUGUGAGCUCGGCACACAUUAUUAUUGGGCAGGAAGCAGGCUUUUGUGGCUUGAUGUCACCGCUGCCUUUGGCUCAC